rnacentral:rRNA from 1 species
UACGGAGGGUGCAAGCGUUAUCCGGAUUUACUGGGUUUAAAGGGUGCGUAGGUGGAUUGGUAAGUCAGUGGUGAAAUACUUUCGCUUAACGAAGGAACUGCCAUUGAUACUAUCAAUCUUGAAUGUAGUGGAGGUAGGCGGAAUGCGUCAUGUAGGCGGUGAAAUGCUUAGAUAUGACGCAGAACACCAAUUGCGAAGGCAGCUUGCUACACUACUAUUGACACUGAGGCACGAAAGCGUGGGGAUCAAACAGGAGUUAGAUGAUCC